rnacentral:rRNA from 1 species
GACGAACGUUGGCGGCGUGCUUAACACAUGCAAGUCGAACGGAAAGGCCCUGCUUUUGUGGGUUGCUCGAGUGGCGAACGGGUGAGUAACACGUGAGUAACCUGCCCUUGACUUUGGGAUAACUUCAGGAAACUGGGGCUAAUACCGGAUAGGAGCUCCUGCUGCAUGGUGGGGGUUGGAAAGUUUCGGCGGUUGGGGAUGGACUCGCGGCUUAUCAGCUUGUUGGUGGGGUAGUGGCUUACCAAGGCUUUGACGGGUAGCCGGCCUGAGAGGGUGACCGGCCACAUGGGGACUGAGAGACGGCCCAGACGCCUACGGGGGGCAGCAGGGGGGAAUAUUGCACAAUGGGCGGAAGCCUGAUGCAGCAACGCCGCGUGCGGGAUGACGGCCUUCGGGUUGUAAACCGCUUUCGCCUGUGACGAAGCGUGAGUGACGGUAAUGGGUAAAGAAGCACCGGCUAACUACGUG